CUCCCUAAACCCGCCACCAGACAAUACACUCACACAACACCAAUACUCUGCUUCAAACUCUGCAACUUCUGAUUUCUAUUACAAUAAGUAACUAUUUGAUUUGGUAGUGGAUUGGAUUUUUUUUCGUAGACUGAAUUAAAGUAUACAAUACUUAUAGUCUCUUCUCUAUCACAUUGAUAUUAAGCUUUGAAUUCUCUUAUUUCGUUUUAAUUUUACCGCAGUUAACAUGUUUGAUGAAAUGCUUUAACCAUAUUUCUGGUUGGUUUUAUAAUUUCUAGCUUUUAUAAACUUAAUAAGUUGAUUGCAUGUGAAAUUAGAAUAAUUGGAUCUUAGUAAUUAGGGAAUUUUAUCUGCACAAAUAGCAUCUUUGCAGAAAACAUAUUAGCGUGAUGAUUCCACUUGUAUUAGUGUUCUUCUGGUAAAUUUUAACUGUUAUUGUGAACUUGUUAAUUUGCUAAUUGUUCUUGUGUUGUUGUUCUGUUGUUCUUCCUUUUUUUUUUGUUGUGAUUUUCUGUUCUUGAACUUGUUAAGUUGAUAAUUUGCUAAAUUGUUGGGCUGUUGUUUUAAUUUGCUAAAUUGUUAGGUUGCUGCGAUUUAAUUUGUUGGAUUUUCUAUUGAGGUCUUAUUCUUGUUUAUUUGCUAAAUUGUUGUUGUGUAUUUAUUGUGGUCUUUGAGAUUAUUGCUGGAUAUUGGUGAUCAUUGAUUUAUUAUAUGCUUCAUGUUUUCAUUGUUUUCUUUUUCUGAAGGAAAAAAAAUUUCUGUUUUCAAUGUUUUGUUGAUUGUUUGUUUUGUUUCAGAAAUCAAUUUUCUGUGAUCAGUGCCCAAACUCUGAAUGCUGUUCUGUUGGUUUUGCUGUGUUUGUUUUGUUUCAGAAAUCAAUUUUUUUGUGAUCAAUGCUCAAACUCUGAAUGUUGUUCUGCUGUUUUUGUUUUGCUUCAGAAAUCAAUUUUGUGAUCAAUGCUCAUACUCCGAAUGUUGUUCUGUUUUGUUUUAAGGCUGUGUUUGGAAGAGGUGAUUGAUUUCUGAGUUUUGUUUAGUUUUUGUUUUAAGGCCGUGUGUUGUGUUCAAUUUUCAUUUUGUAGGAAAUUCUUUGAGGUAUAUAAGACUUAAGAAGGAAGACUAUUUAUAUGGUAUUACUCUGUUGAUUCUGGUCUGCUACAAGCUUGAACAUAGAAUUGAAGAGAGAAACCCUUUAUUAUUUCAUCAUUGGCCUAUAUUUGGCAUUGCAUAUCAUUGUAGUUUGUUUAUUCAUAGAACUAGUUGUUUAUGAUCCCCUUUUGAAGUAAAAAAAUGCAGUAGAAGAGUGUUUAAAACCAGUUGCUUUAUUUAUUGAAUUUUUAUAGAAGUGUUUUAUUUUAAAACGGUUUUCUCGGUUGAACCAAUGAACCAGUGAACCAGUAAUUAAAACGGUUCGAUGAGCGGUCCGGUUUUCAAAACCUUGAUUUCUUUCCACCUAGCACAUUAGGCGUUUUGGCGCCAAUUCUAAUUUUAGAUAUUUCAAGCUCUGGAAUCCGAUGGAAGAUCUUCGGAAUCCAAUGCUGAAGUUCUUCUCUGAUCAAGAGCUUUGUUAUGCUGAGAUCGUCCCUAGUGCUCAGGUCCGAGCUAGAAUUGAAGUUUCAGUGCUCAAUUUUCUCAAGAAUUUGAAUGCAUCAAACCCUGCCAUCUCAGAUUUGCCUCUGAUUCAGAGAAAAUUUUGCAACAGCCGAGUGAAUCAUAGCUUGAUGACCGACCUAUCAUGUGUUUUCCUCUCCCAUUCUGUUUCUUCGAGGUCCUUGAUGAGGCCUAAUGCAGCAAAGGCCUUCGUUAGAGUGUGGAAGGUGAUGGAGUUGUGCUAUCAGAUACUGCUUCAGGAAAAGCGUGUCACGCAGAGGGAGCUAUACUACAAGCUUCUGUGCGAUUCGCCACAUCUGUUUCCUUCUCAGAUAGAUGUCAACAGGACAAUCCAAGAUGUCGUGGCAUUGCUUAGGUGCAGCCGAUACAGUCUCGGAAUCAUGGCAUCUAGUCGAGGUCUAGUAGCUGGCCGCCUUACUUUUCAGGAGCCGGGCAAAGAGGUUGUUGAUUGCUCUGUAUGCGGAUCUUCUGCACAUGCAAUUCCAGGAGACGUGAAUUUGUUAGAAAACUUGAUUCUAGAUACUGAUGCUAGAUACAUUAUAAUUGUGGAGAAGGUUUUAUUUAUCCCCCCGCCCCCCCAAAGGUAGAAAGUUUGAUUCAAGAAUAUUGUUCUGUUUAGCAUGCAAUAUUUCAGCGGCUUGCUGAGGAUCAAUUUUUUAAUCAAAUUCCAAGCAUUCUUGUCACAGCUAAAGGUUAUCCAGAUAUGGCAACGAGAGUUCUUCUUCAUCGAAUCCAUCGAACAUUUCCUGACUUGCCAAUUUUAGCUUUG